UCAAUGUUUGCAUCUCCAGCACCACUUUUGUGACCAUUCUUGUGUUUUCUCCUUUCAGCUUUUGAGAUAUGAGGUUUAUAUCUUCUCUCUGUUGCCUUACUUUCCUCACAACAAUGAUCCUCAAACAAAUCAACCUGAGAUGUUUCAACUCCAUAAUUCUUUCGAGACACAGCAGCAGCUCCCAGCCCAAGAGCUCUAUAAUGAGAUCCUCAAGUUGUGGGGUAACAGAAGCAACACCAUUUCCAACAAUAUUGGAUGCAUCUUCCUUGUUGAGCCCACUAGUGGUAUAAUUAUCUAGCAGAAGAAAUCUGUGUAGAUCAGUGACUUCAGUAUUGGAGACUGUCAGGUCAUCAGCAAUAUUUUUUGAUUCUAACGCAAGUUCUUUGUCUGUCACUUCCUUCUCCAACCCAGAAUCAGAAAAUUCUUAGAGAGGUCCACUUUCUUCAUCAUAAUUCAUCCCUUCCUCCUCACUACGUACCCUCCUUUCAUUUAAGUGUGAUCCCAAAGAGCACUCAUCCAAGCAAAGCAACAACCCAAAGCCCAUUAUAAGA
rnacentral:misc_RNA from 1 species